AGUGAACGCUGGCGGUAGGCCUAACACAUGCAAGUCGAACGGCAGCACAGUAAGAGCUUGCUCUUACGGGUGGCGAGUGGCGGACGGGUGAGGAAUACAUCGGAAUCUACUUUUUCGUGGGGGAUAACGUAGGGAAACUUACGCUAAUACCGCAUACGACCUACGGGUGAAAGCAGGGGAUCUCCGACCUUGCGCGAUUGAAUGAGCCGAUGUCGGAUUAGCUAGUUUGCGGGGUAAAGGCCCACCAAGGCGACGAUCCGUAGCUGGUCUGAGAGGAUGAUCAGCCACACUAGAACUGAGACACGGUCCAGACUCCUACGGGAGGCAGCAGUGGGGAAUAUUGGACAAUGGGCGCAAGCCUGAUCCAGCCAUACCGCGUGGGUGAAGAAGGCCUUCGGGUUGUAAAGCCCUUUUGUUGGGAAAGAAAAGCAGCAGGUUAAUACCCCGCUGUUCUGACGGUACCCAAAGAAUAAGCACCGGCUAACUUCGUG
rnacentral:rRNA from 1 species